ACCUGGCUGGCUCAGUUGCUAGAGCAUGCAGCUUUUGAUUUCAGGGUUGUGAGUUUAAGCCCCAUGUUGGGUG
rnacentral:tRNA from 1 species